GAGGCAGCAGUAGGGAAUCUUCCGCAAUGGACGAAAGUCUGACGGAGCGACGCCGCGUGAGCGAAGAAGGUCUUCGGAUCGUAAAGCUCUGUUGUUAGGGAAGAAGAAGUACCGUUCGAAUAGGGCGGUACGGUGACGGUACCUAACGAGAAAGCCCCGGCUAACUACGUGCCAGCAGCCGCG
rnacentral:rRNA from 1 species